ensembl:snoRNA SNORD22 Small nucleolar RNA SNORD22
UGCCAAUGAGGAAAGCAAGCAUCCUGUCUUACCCCUGUUCUAGCCCCAGAGCCUGUAAUGGUGAACUCACUGGAGCUAACUGGGAGAGAGGACGAUAACUUGUUUGAUAAGGAACUGUCUAAGAUAC